rfam:Aedes aegypti strain Liverpool supercont1.1 genomic scaffold, whole genome shotgun sequence.
CAAAUGGUCCUUUUCAGGACCACCAAAAUGAGUUCAAAAAGAGAUUU